rnacentral:rRNA from 1 species
GAUGAACGCUAGCGGCAGGCUUAAUACAUGCAAGUCGAGGGGCAGCGCAGUGUAGCAAUACAUGGGCGGCGACCGGCAAACGGGUGCGGAACACGUACGCAACCUUCCUUUAACUGGGAGAUAGCCCACCGAAAGGUGGAUUAAUAUCCCAUAGUAUAUUUGAAUGGCAUCAUUUAGAUAUUAAAGCUCCGGCGGUUAAAGAUGGGCGUGCGUCUGAUUAGGUAGUUGGCGGGGUAACGGCCCACCAAGCCCACGAUCAGUAGCUGAUGUGAGAGCAUGAUCAGCCACACGGGCACUGAGACACGGGCCCGACUCCUACGGGAGGCAGCAGUAAGGAAUAUUGGUCAAUGGACGCAAGUCUGAACCAGCCAUGCCGCGUGGAGGAUGAAGGUCCUCUGGAUUGUAAACUUCUUUUCUUUGGGACGAAACCCCUGUUUCUACGGGGACUGACGGUACCAGAGGAAUAAGCACCGGCUAACUCCGUGCCAGCAGCCGCAGUAAGAC